ensembl:lncRNA
CUCACCGCGGGCACGUCAGCGGCGCUGAACGGCCGCGGCAGCUGGGAUGGGAGCGGCCGCGGUGUGAGCUGAGCGGCGGCCCAAAUGAGGGGAGCCCUGAAACCCCACGGUUGCACGGCCGUGUCCCGGGCUCGGCUCCUCCGCAGCUCCUGGCUGAAGCCCUCCGUGGCCGUCAAUAGUUUUCGGAGUUGGCUGCCGAGCCGUCGGCUCGCUGAGGGAUGCGGCCAGCCUGCUCGUGGUGAUGAUACCUGUGCAAAAAGUUGCUGUGAUCUCCUACUAAUCGUGAGGUAUGUGAGAGGAAAUCCGAAGAGCUGCCCAAGAACGUCCCAAAUUUCACCAGGUGCGAUAGCUCAGACUCGGAGAAGGCUGUGCUUUCAUCUCUCCCCCUGUGGGGAGGCAGCCCUUUUCUGCAGCUCUGCUGAAACUGGCACUGGCUCUGCUCGACAUCCAGCUCCUCCUUGACAAAGAUGAGGGAGAAAAAGCAUCCUGUAAAUGGGGGGAGUCGGAAGGGCCGGGUAUGCUGGGUGUGGGGCCAAAGCUGGGCGCCAUUCCUGAGCUUCAGAGACCGCGGUACAGCGAAGGAAGGAAGGAGGAAGGUGUGAGGAGGGGAAUUUCCACCGCUUUGCUGGAUGGUGUGGGAGCACCACGGGGAGAGGGGAACACACACAGCAGGGCUGAAGGCAGCAGGGGGAAGGUCAGAGCUCAUAACCCCGGGAGUUAUGGAGACGCAGAAAGGAGCAGAGAGGGAGGGUGGUGUGGGUCAUGGAGUGGGAGAACCCGAGAACAGCCGCAGUGAGAGAGGAGCCGGGUUCAGCCGCAGUGAGAUCCCAGCCACGGAGCGGGGCUGAGCAGCAUGCAGGCGCGGGAGGUGCGGGGCUUGGGCAAGAAGCAGCCUGGCAGGGGACUUCUCUGGGGCUUUGUUCUCCAUCCCAGCAUUCUCCUCUCAGAGCACCGGGUUGCUCUGCAGCGCUGAGAGCCACCUCCUCGCCUCCUGCACGGUGAUGUUUCUCAUUUCACGAAGUUGCUGCGGGACGAACCCGUCUGAGUGGUGCUUUGCUGAGUACGAGCUGCUAACCUUUGAAUCACUAACCAGGGAACCUGUAAAAUUUCAAAACAGCAGAGAUCUGCAGAGAAGAUAGGGCGAUGUCUGCAAUCUUGAAGUGCUGACAGCGGUAAGUUAAGGAGCACCCAUAAUUUUCCGAGUGCUCCACAAACAGCCUGAUUUUCCUUCUCGCAGCCAGCACAUUGUUUUUCUCCUGGAGCGGAGCGACUGUUAGGCAUCUAAGUGAACAAUAUGGAUUUUCACUACUGCCCUCCUCCUUUCUUCUUCCCCUCAUGCCAGCGUGAAUUGGCUCUUCCUGUCAGCCACCAGUUGCUGCAAACCCACAAAGAUCUCAUCUGCUUUUCACUUCCUCCCCAAGCCGGGCUCAGCGCUCCCCUGCCCAGCACCCCGACAGCUGCUCACCGGGCGCCGCUCUGCAUCUGCUGCACCCGACGUCGCUCCGCUGCUCUGUAUCUGCUGUGCUCGGACCCACCGCCACCUCCCACAUCCCUGCCACCGUGUCACCGUGCUGUGUCCCCGCCGCGUGACCCCCCCAGCACUGAUCUCGCGGAGUACAACCCCACAUCCACGCAGUCUCCCGCUGCUCUGCUGCUGCUCUGCCUUCUCCCAGAGUUGCCCCAGUGAGGAGACCUGUGCUGGGAGACGUACUCCCCUGCAGUUUAUUGUCCUAAGUAUUGUCAUCUUUGGGGACCGGCGUUGCACCAAGGAAGUCUGCAAGCUGGGUGCCCCCCAGGUGUGGCUGGCUUAUAGAAAUCCUGAUCAGAGACAUUAAAUUCUGACUUCUGGUGUGGGUCGGGACAGCAAAUGGUAUGCACGUGUGCCAUAGGAACCGGCACAAAGCAGAAGUGAGUGUGUGGCAGCCAGGGGAUGGAGGCACAACGUGAAGAGGGGAGGGGAAGGAGAAGGGGGCCCAGGGGGCACAUACAGCUGGAGGAGGGGUGGGAGCUGAAGGUCAGCAGCCAAAAAGGGAAGCGGGGCAGGAAGAAAAAUCGGGUGAAACAGGAAAGGCAUGCUAUGAGCAGGGCAAGGGACAGCAGGGAGCGGGUGUGACAUCCCUGCGCAGAGGGAGCAGCAAAUGUGACAUCCCCACCAUCAGAGCUCUGUUGUGCUGCCUGCGGGAGGGCACACACCGAGCUGGCAUCUCGGUGUCUGGAGAGGGAGUAGGGAGAGGGCUGCUCCCCAAGAGCCGGGCUCUGUGGCCAUGCCCAGUGAGCAGUGAGGAGCUGGAGAGUGUGGAGACCUGGGUGCAGGCGGGCACGGCUUCCAUGGGCGCUGCCUUUGUGCCGCUGCCCUUCUCCCUUGGGCUUCUGCUGCAGGAAAAGGAAGUGCUCUGAUCAUCAUCUUUCAGCACGCUGCUCUCUCCAGGAUUAGGUUCACCUAUAGCUCUUGGGAAGGACGCUGUGUUGUAGCAACACACGUAUGUAAAAUACACUUUUUUUGGGAUCCACAUGUACGCGCUUUGCUCUGGCUCUGCCGCCUCCUGUUUGAGUCCACAGCCAAAGAAAAUAAGCGAAGCCAGCACCCCUGCUAGGGGCAUAUGUCUGAACAGGCACAAGCUUAAUAAUGUCCCUAUUUAAAUAUGUAUGGAGCCGAUUGUUAAUGUAAAGCAUGCACAUGCUAGAACAUUUUCAGGCGGUGCUUGGAGAGGUGAGGGCACCUUCCGUGAGGUCAGCGCAGAGGAAAUCUUGGUGUCUUCCCUUCUCCCGCUGCUCCAAGCCAACAACUGCUGCUGAUUUAUCCCCAUCUUGUGUCAUCUCCACAGCGUCCCAGCAUCCCACGGGCUCCGUGUUCCCCUCCCAGACCACUGUCCAGAGGGCAGAAACCAGAGGUGGGGACGUGGUGUCCCCAGGCUGCCUCAUCCCCAGCCCCUGCCCCAGCAGCUGCCGCUUUCCCCGGGGGAGGGGGAGGGGGGGGAAGGAGGGUCUGGGGGAACCCAAACCCCACGGAGCCACCGUGCUGUCUCUGGCUCCAGCCCUGCCUCACCACGGCAGAAGGUGCCCUUCCUACAGAGCUUCCCGACGUGGGCUGGCUCGGCUCCUCCAGCAGGUUCCUUCCUUAGCUGCGAGCUGCUGCACUCCAAGGCAGGAAACAAAGGAGGGGAAGCAUCACCCACCCAUUCUGAAAGCCCACUCUUUCUGAAAGCCUCGCCAUUCAUUUUUCUUUUUUCUUUUUUUGUGGGAUCAUUGCACUGAGUGCCCUCCCUUGCUCAGCUGGAGGUAGAUCAGCUCAGCUCCUUCCAAAGAGUGCCCAACUUCGCGGGGACGGUGUGUGCAUUGGAGCAGGGUCUGCUGGCCUGGCCAUAUGGCAGCGGGACCCACAUCGUGAGCUUGUGCGUGUGUUAAAUCUGGGAGGUUUUAUCUGUUAGCACACAUCUCUACUCAAUCUCUAUUCAGGAACCUCCACAGCCAAACUGGAACAUUACAUAUGUGAAUUGUGCAGUUAAAACGGUGACUCUGAAGCCACCUUCCGCCCACUGAAACAGCGGAGAUCUGCCUCCCAGGUGCUCCAUUGUUGCUCUUUGUCAGAUAUUGAGCCAUGAUGAAGAGAAGGGCGACUAUCUCCCAUCCCCAGGGAGUAUUGCUGGUGCCUGCAGGUGGGCUAUGGGAGCCACAGGGGUGGCUGCGGUGUGUGUACUGCGCUCCUCUGACGGCUGCUGAGCUUUGUCAGAAGGGAGAAGUCCUCCACGGGACCCCACCUUCAUUUCAGGAUAAAACCUCGUUGUGAGAAGGGAACAUUGCCCGGAGAUGGAGCAGGUUUAAGAUUUUGUGCUAAUGUAGUCCCUGUUGGUGUGGAUUCCUCGGUUUAGUUUAGUUACUAAUAGACCUGAAUUUAAAAUAGCAACUAAAGGUGAUGUGGUUUCUCAUGGCAGGGCAAAGAAAGGCAUCCCUCUGCCCCUUGGUUCUCUGCUGGUGUUGGUUCCAGUGUGGGCAGGAGUACGGAGCUCUGCUGUGUCUGAAACUACUUCCUGUGUUGUUGUAGGGGUCAUACAGAAAGGAUCAUGGAAAAGAAUGGCUCUCCUGAAAACAGCGCCGAGGGAAAUUUAAGCAGAAUUUCUGGAAUUUCAUGGUUUCACUCAACAGCUUCAGUACCCGUUUUGAUUAAGGCUGCAUUUCGUCACCAUCGGAACCAGCGUUUGGGUUUUUUUGUUUUGAGAAGAAACUCUGCUGCUGUUUUGACUCGGACCGCGCCUGGGUUCGGUGCUGGGAUUCAGCCUUAUUGGCACCAGAAGCUCAAACAAAGCUGAAGGAAGGAGGCACGAAACACUCCAUAAUUUCCUUGGAUCCAAUGCAGGAAAUAGAAUAUUGCAGAUAAUUCUAUUUUUUUUUUCACCCAAAGAGCAAAACCAAACAAAUGUUGGCAUUUUGCUGGUGGCACAACUUGCCUCUGUUCUUACGUUGCUACGUUGUGGCCAGGAAGGCGGAUGGGAGCCUUGCCUCCAACCACUGCCUAUCAGAACGCUUGGGUGGAUGUGUAUGUAUGGGCGGGGGGUUAUCAUGGCUCUGAUGCAAGAAAGCUGCAUUUUUCCCCUGGCCCCGUGACCCCAUCACAGCACUGUGCCCCACUGCCACAAGCCCUGAUCCGCUCACACAAUGCCCUGCAAGGCGCUCACGGCGAACAGCCUCACACUGCACCUAAAUAUGGCAUUUCCCUCCCGUUUCCCUGUUGGAUUUGCAAAGUUUGGUUUAAGCAAGAUGUGAAAAACAUUUAAGAGCGCAGCAAAACUGUUCGCUGCUACCAAAAAUAAAAUAAUAAUAAUAAUAACAACAAUAAUAAUAAUGAAGAAAAAAAAGAAAAGAUCUGCUGUGAACCCAAAAAAUAUUUCCUGUAGGAAAACUUGGGGCUGAAGUUGGUAGAAAGUGCUUCUUAGUUUGGGAUACAUUUCUGUGCCCCCGUGGCAUCGGGGAUCGCCCCAUUGAGAUGCAAAUGGGGCCUCGAAAUGGGAAUGGAUGAGCGGAGAGCGGGGCUGGCUGGCUGCACUGGGGCUGCCCUUCGUUUCCCCAGGUUGAACCUUUGGGGAUGCCCAGCACUGCUGGGUUAUGCUCAUUUCUCUACUCCUAUUCCAAGGCUUCUUUUUGUACAAGUUUUAGCUGCUCCCAUUUUCUUUUUUUUUUUUUUUAAUUUUAUUUAAUUUAAUUUUAUUCAAUUUUAUUUGAUUUUAUUUUAUUUUUCUGCAGUAACCAUAAAGUGUUGCGUUUUGUUCCCAUAAAGGGAACAACAAAAAAAAAAAGGUCAAACUUCAUUAGCUAAUUAAUUGUCAGAAACCCAUAACUUGGGGGGAAAAAAAACAACAAAGAAAAGAAGAAGAAAAAAAAGAGGCAUUUCCUCCCCUCGCAUGGCUGUGCAGCCAUUUUGCACUGACAAUACCAUCCAAACACAUCUCCCCUAAUCAAAGUUCCCCACGUUUUUCUACCUAAAGCCAUGAGCCACGCGUUAAGGUAACGCACAGCGCAAGGCGAGCAGCUCUGGGGAAUGGCUUUGUGAGGAGCACAGAGGACUGAGCAGAGCUCAUUUCAGGGCAGAUGAGAAAGGACAGAAGGACGCAGGGAGGAGGUUGGGGUGCAGGAGGGGAGGUGGGGCGGCCCCCAGCUCUGCAAUUCGUGGGCUCAGCAGCCCAAGGAAUGGGAAGAAAACCCCAAUGUGCUCAGCACUGGUUUGCUCCCGAGCCCAAGGAAAAAAAUCGAGAAGCAAAUGAGAAAAUAUAUGUUGUGAAGGGAAAGGGUAUUUUCAACACAACCGUUUGGGAGCUGGCUCUUCAGAGGGUAUGUGAAUUAAUGGCUGAGUUGAAGCUGGUUUCAGGGGUGUUGCCUUGCUAUUGGCAUGUUAUAAACCAUAUAAAUAUGGUUGGGUUUGUAAAAAGACAAAACCAAAAUCAACCCCAACUAGCACAGGAGCGGGGAGGGGCUGAGCUCUUAUCAACCUCCAGCUAUGGAAUAAAAGUCUGCUAAGAUAUUCAACCAAUUUAAAACAAAACAACCAAAAAGUAAACUCUGUCAAACUCCGGCAGCCAACAUCUCUAACCGUGCUCAUACAAUAACAAAACAACCCAUCGGAACUCAAAAUAAUAUCGCUUUUUUCCCCCCCCCCCUUUUUUCUUUUUUUUUUUUUUUUAAUAUCUAAUGAAAAAUGUUACAGAGCUUCCUCCCAGGCAGUGCGAUACCAACAUUCGCAGAAGAAAGAAACGAAGAUUUCUCCUCCGAACGCCUAAUGGCUGCUGGGCAGGAGCCGGGGGCGUCCCGCCCUGCCCGGCGCGGGGCUCCCAG